AUUCCUUUUUGAAAAGGAACUUGGAAAAGGAAAUAUUUGGGGGAGGGAAAAAAAGCCAUUUGUGGGAGAAGCAAAGGACCGGGAUUAUUUAAUUGAUUCUCCCGGUUGCAGCGAUGUCCCCUGGGAGUCCGGACACAGUUUUUAAAAUAGCGGAGGGGGUGGGGGGCGCGGGGGAGGCCUGAGAAUGGAGGCCAGGGCCGGGCUGAAAUAGCUCCACACACUUUGGUCGGAGGGGCCCGGCUUGGCUCACGUCACCUUCGGUUGGAGUGGGAGAUGACUGGAGGCCCACAGUGAUCUCGGGUGGGUUUUGGUGGGUUGGGGGUUCUGCCGCUGUGGGGUCCGGCCAAGGGUUUGGGAGGGUUUUCUGGGAAGGACUUCACGCCGCUGGGAGCAGGGCUGAUUCCGCCAGUAAUUAACAGUGAAGAAGAAAGGCAAUUUGUUGUCAAGUCUAUUGUGAGAUCCCAGGUAAAAUGAAGUACGAUUUAAUUGGUCCUCGUUAAAAAGAGCUAUUUUUCUAAUAUGGAGAAAAGGCCUCAUCUUGGGCACUUUUUUUAAUUGGGGUUGUGUAUGCACUGUUUAGUCAAUGUUUAAAAAAGACUCCGGGCCUUAUUCUUUCAUCAUAUUUUCUAAUAAGGAUAAAUAAAUAGGAUGAAUAAUGCGAUCGGUCUAUCCCUCGACCUCUGAAAGACCUCAGCAGCGAAAUGAUGUUUCAAGCUCCUUUCGUCACAUCCAAUAUGCACUGCCUUUCAGCUCUCCGCAGCCCAAACAAAAGCCAUACAACAAUAUCAAUUAAUCAUGCAGCAGGCAAACAAGGAGAUUUAUUCCACUACAAAUAGCCUCACAGAGAGAUGCUGAAUGGGCUUGAUUAGCAUGAGAAAAGAGGAGCAAAACUCCACAGUUCAACAGCUAAAGAGCAAUUUGAUGGGGCUGGGAUUGGGAAAUUACUUGAUUAGUGUCUGUCGGAGGAGAACACGAUUAGGACGCGAGUCCCAGCCCCGCCGGGGGAACGGGGGGCUCGGGGCGGCCUGGCCGGGGGGUGGGGGCAAGGGGGGUAAAAAUAAAAAGGGGGGGGGUGGAAUAAAAGGAUUUUUUUUCCUUCCCCCCCACCCCACCCCACCCCCCCGGUAAUUCCCGGGAAGCGCCGUGAGACUCCGCUCCCCCUCCCAGGCAGCCCAUUCGGUGUCUGGGAGGAGAAGAGAAUGCUCUGAAAAGGGGAGCAGCCCGGGGCUGACACCCUCCUCGCCGGCGGCAUCUCACCGCGGAGGAGCCGAGCAGCCAGUGUUAAGAUCAAGAAAGAUGGAGUUGACUGGCCAACCUGUGGUUGCGCUGCCUGCCUCGCUUGUUGGAGAUGGAGAACGGACGGUGGAUGGAGAGCUGGGAACAAUGUGGCCAUGAAGCUGCUGUUUUCCAGAAGGACGAUCCUGGCAAAAACAUGGCACCGUCUUGAUUUGGUGCAAUGGGGCGCAUGUUGAAGGGACGGGGAAACUCAACACCGUCAAUCUCCUCUUUCCUCUUCAGACAACAGCAGACACUUAAAUGGAGAUUGGUUAAUUCCUCGUGCCUACAUCUUAGAAAAUGAAGUGACUUUGAAUUAUUGGGAAAGCAGAGAGACGCGUAAUCUCCCAGACCUCCAUCCUCUCCACAUCCUUGGCCUUGGAAAAGCCUGAGUCAGGUCAUACCUGAUCCCUUCUGGUCUUGGAGCCUCAUAUACUGCAGAGGAGACUCAAAAAGCACUUUGAGAUGGCUGGAGAGGAGGGAUACUUCCUGGCAAAUGGUCUCUAUAAACUGGUCCCCUCCCCAUGCCAUUUCUGUUGCUCAUUAACAACACGGAGCCAUAAACAAUGGCACGCGCUUGUAUCUAAAGUCUCCAGGAUUAAUUAAAAAAUCAUUGGUGACGACAUUACUAGAGACUUUCAAUUAUGUCAAUAGGCUUUGGAUAAGGCCCUUAUAUUCUUAAUAAACAUUAUGUAGUUUUAAAUGCUGUAGUCUUGUUCUUUAUUUAAUCAGACAUUAUCAUUGGCUUCUGUGUUAACUCAUUUCACCUGUCCUGUCAACAGCAAAAACUGCCUUCUUCAGUAAGACAAUGUAUUUCCUAUUUAUGCAUCAGAAAUGAGUAAUAAUAGGUUUCAAGAAACUGUAACAUUUAA